UCGACGAUGAAUCUUCUAGCUUGCUAGAAGUGGAUUAGUGGCGCACGGGUGAGUAAUGCAUAGGUUAUGUGCCCUUUAGUCUGGGAUAGCCACUGGAAACGGUGAUUAAUACUGGAUACUCCCUACGGGGGAAAGUUUUUCGCUAAAGGAUCAGCCUAUGUCCUAUCAGCUUGUUGGUGAGGUAAUGGCUCACCAAGGCUAUGACGGGUAUCCGGCCUGAGAGGGUGAUCGGACACACUGGAACUGAGACACGGUCCAGACUCCUACGGGAGGCAGCAGUAGGGAAUAUUGCUCAAUGGGGGAAACCCUGAAGCAGCAACGCCGCGUGGAGGAUGAAGGUUUUAGGAUUGUAAACUCCUUUUGUUAGAGAAGAUUAUGACGGUAUCUAACGAAUAAGCACCGGCUAACUCCGUGCCAGCAGCCGCGGUAAUACGGAGGGUGCAAGCGUUACUCGGAAUCACUGGGCGUAAAGAGUGCGUAGGCGGGGUAAUAAGUCAGAUGUGAAAUCCUGUAGCUUAACUACAGAACUGCAUUUGAAACUGUUACUCUGGAGUGUGGGAGAGGUAGGUGGAAUUCUUGGUGUAGGGGUAAAAUCCGUAGAGAUCAAGAGGAAUACUCAUUGCGAAGGCGACCUGCUGGAACAUUACUGACGCUGAUGCACGAAAGCGUGGGGAGCAAACAGGAUUAGAUACCCUGGUAGUCCACGCCCUAAACGAUGGAUGCUAGUUGUUGCCAUGCUUGUCAGGGCAGUAAUGCAGCUAACGCAUUAAGCAUCCCGCCUGGGGAGUACGGUCGCAAGAUUAAAACUCAAAGGAAUAGACGGGGACCCGCACAAGCGGUGGAGCAUGUGGUUUAAUUC
rnacentral:rRNA from 1 species